UACAGAGGUCUCAAGCGUUGUUCGGAUUCAUUGGGCGUAAAGGGAGCGUAGGUGGCGGGGUAAGUCAGGUGUGAAAUCUCGGGGCUCAACCCCGAAACUGCACCCGAUACUGCCUUGCUAGAGUACUGGAGAGGAGAUUGGAAUUUACGGUGUAGCGGUGAAAUGCGUAGAUAUCGUAAGGAAGACCAGUGGCGAAGGCGAAAUCUCUGGACA
rnacentral:rRNA from 1 species